rnacentral:sRNA from 1 species
AAAAAAAACACAAAAAAAUCAAA